CGAGUCACCCGGGCAGCCGCCGAUGUUCUGGAGGCAUCCAUUGGACACCGCAACAAAGAGGGGCGGGUCCCGGGCCCGGGGACUCUACAAGCCGGAGCUGUGCAGCUCUGUGAUUGGCUCCAGUGUCCCUAGGCGGGAGGGGAUCCGAGUAAGGGAAGCUGGGCUGCCACGCGAAAUCCGAUGCUGCGGUGUCCUGGGAGCCCCGCCGCGCUGGAGCGGCCAUCCAGGAACUAAGGUCCAGUUUCCGCAGGACGGAGGCGCAGCAGCGAAGACACCUCGAGAUGAGACUCGGAGUUUCUCUCCAGGUUAACCAGUGGAUACAGCCUUACAUCUUCUGUUACUAGUCACGGAUAACAAGGUCCGGCAAUCCAAGCUGCUAUAAGACACAAGAGGCCAGUGAGGCCCCUUUUGCCUCAGCUACUGGUUUGUGGAGGGAUGCUUGAAGCCAAGGAAUGGCCCUCCCUCAGUUCCCACUAAAACACUACACUUUUCUUUUC